ensembl:lncRNA
CCCUGUGUAUAUGUAAAACUGCAAUACAGUUGCUAAUGUGAAGUAAGUCUUUAUCACAGCAUAGCUGUUACUCUUAGUAUCCAUCAGUGAGGAGCAAAAGAGCAAAGAAUUUUUAAAAAACUUAUCAAUGGUGUGAUCAGAGUUUUGCUCACAUGAAACAAAAGCAAACCAAGUAAAACCUCACUUUUUAAGCUCCGAACAGUUAGCUUUCGUCACUGCUCUGAGAUGUCUUUAUUUCUGUCCACUGCUUUAGACGCCCUCGCUCUUGCCCUGUUUGUCCUGUAGACUGACUCCAGUUGACUGCUGUUCCCUUGUGUGUCUUCUCCCUUUCUACACUGAAAUCUUUUCUUCUGCUAUUUCCUUCCUACCUUCAUGGCUGUUGUCUGCUGUAACUGCCUUUAAUACCUAACCCAGCCACUGGGAGGGAAGCAAGGAGUCUUAGCCCAACCUUCACUGUGACUUCUUUCUGAUAGGGGGAAGCCAGCCAGAAAAUAAUCAGCAUUGAUCUGCUUUCUCGUAAGCAUGGGGAUGCAUUUCUGGGGACUUUAUGGCCCCUCCAUAAAUGACAAUGAGUACCUGAUUCUUUCCAGGACCUGAAGAGAAUCCUGUCAGCUAGAGUGUCUGAAGAGGCUGGAAAGUAGGCCACACCCUCAGAGCUGCUCAGGACUCCUCUUGAGGGUGGUGUCCAGCAAGAAGGCUGGUGGGAACACAGGCUCAAGGACAGAGGUAGAGAGAGCGAGCCAGGUGCUUCUGCACUUGUUACUCUUCACUGUGGUCUCACCGAGAGACAUUGUCCCUCAGUUGGUGAGUGGUACCCGGAAAUAUGCUUUUUUUUAAAAAAAAAAUUCCACAAUACAUGCUUUAAUCAAUUUUAGAAAUAAUGGAUGCUGGUAACAGGAGACGAGAACUGGAGAACUCUGAAGAGUUCAUUAUGAUCAUCAUCGUCAUCAUCAUCAAUAUAAUUUUGAAAUGUUUGUGUGGCAACAACCUAGACGCCAUAAUGUCAAUAAAAUACGUGGCGAAGCAAAGGGGGCUUCACCUCUUGCAAGGUGGUGUGCAGAGAAGCUGGAGGGGAACUCAGUGGCAAUUAUUUCAUCUCCCAGUAAUUGUCUAACUCCCUUCUUUUCCCUUUGGUAAGAGGCGAGGUGUUAUUGAAAUCAAAAGACUGAGAUGAAGAUGACAGGGAGCCCUGAUUGCAUUUGGGAGGAAAGAAAUCAAAGUAAUUAGAUGUUUCUUGUUUACUCCUGUGUAAUGUGCCUUUUUCAUUUACAACCUCAUUUCAUUUUCCCAUCAACCUUUGGAGGUGGAGAGGGCUAGCAGCCUUGGUAGAGGGUGGGAGCCUUUGUUUUAAUGACCUGCUAGCACGCCAUGGCAAACUGAGUGUGGGUCUUGUUGCUGUGUGCUGGGAAGGUCAUCAGAUGUGUUGUCCUGCAGUGGCUCAAUAGCGGACAGACGUAGGACGGGUAUGGCGUAAAGAGUCAUCUGUAUGAUGCGACCUGGUGGUGCCUUGGUGGCAAGCGGAGGGAAAGUAACUGGGGAAUUCUUGCUGAGACGUUCACUAACUCUCGUCCUCUGGACUUCCGUUAAACUACAUAGAUAAUAAACCUCGUUCUGAGUGUUGUGGAGUUUUUCAGAGCACCUCGAAUGCUGUCGUGAUAGGGAAAGCUCAGCUUGAUUUGAAAGUGUGACCGAGUUCAUCCUUGUUUCAUCAUUGUUUUCUUUAUCUUUGUCCCACUACCUUCAGUGGACGAUUGGUCGCCACUGCAUACGUAACUGGCUCUUUGGCUUUGUCUUGGCAAUAUUUCUCUAAUAGAAUCUCAAACCUGGGCUUGAAUAUUCCUCCCGGACUCCAGCUUAUGGUUACAACAUCAGUGGGAAUCUUUGUUACCUGCUCUAUCUCUUGGGAUUCUCAGGGCUUAAAGUGAAAUUGUGGUAGCCUUCAACUUGGAUUUAGUGAACUCAAAUGGUCCACUAAAAUGGCAGGACCGAAAAGACUGCUUUCAUGAGUUGACUGAAGGAAGCUCGGAAGUUUUUGUUAUCCCGAGGUUAGUUCUGGUCCACAGCGACUCUUGCUUCUGAAGCACUGUAUGCCCUUCCUGUAUGUUACUGAGAACAGGGUGGAAGUGCGGCCUUGCAUACUCAGAAGACCUGGUUUGAAGGGGAGGUGGCUUCAGGCUCAGCCGGAGCAGGACUCCAGCUCCGAUCCUCUGCACUGUUCUUCAGUCUGCCCUUUUCGUGUUGUUGGCUUUAUCUUCCUCAAGCUAUUUGUCUUACUGUUGGGAGGUAGCUGUCCAGUGACCAGGCUGAGAAUACCUACCUGCAUAGCUGUCCAGCGAGCAGGCUAGAGGCAUCUGCUUUCCUCUUUGGAGGAGAGUGAACCUUGCUGCCCUAGGUAGAGGUCUCCGUUACUGCACAUUGUGCUACUUGGAAUAUGGACCAGAGGCUGUGCUACUCCGACCUCAUGGCAGCCACUCAGAGAGGUGAUUGGCUGCUCACAGCAAGUGUACUGUUGGGGAGAAAGGGCCAGAAGCCUUGUUUUCAGUCUUAUUACAGUACCAUCUAUGCCUCAGACCUCGACUCAUCUUCCAAAAGAGAUGUUAGGCAGCUGCACUCUGUACUAAGGCAAUGCUUACAAGAGUGCGAUUAGAAGAGGGAGGUGCUGGGACACACACACACACACCACACACACACACACACACACACACACACACACACACACACACGACCUGUCAGGGUCACUUCAAGGAUAUAGCAUGGAAGGACAGUGUUUGUGUGUCUGGUAGUCUGCUGGGAUCUCUGCAUAAAAGGCAGGCGACACAUUUUCAUGGCUAGAAGAAUAAGUCUGAAGGAUGCGAGUGUCCCCUUGCCCAGGGGGACUCUAGCAGGUACUGGCAGGAUCUGCUGAGUAGUUCCAGGGAUUGUACUGCAGAUAAGGCUGGACAGCAUGAUGUUUUGAGGGUUAAACAAGUCACAGCACUGAAAGAGGCUUGUGCCAGCAGUGUGGCGUCAGUCACCGUGAUGAGGGAGAGGAUGGCAGGAUGGGUAACACAAUGCACAAAGCCUGCUAAGUGUUAGCCUUGCUUUGUUUGCAUGUUCCCCAGUAUCAGGAUUUUAGGGAGCACUGAUUGUCUUGCCUGCUCCUUAUAUUUGGUUUGUGCAAGCAGGUUGGCGGUAAUUUAUCAAGUGUGGCCUAGUCAUUCAUGACAGGCUGUUGCGAUUGUUUGCUUCCUUCGAGAUUCAAACUGGACCAGAGGAUCCUGUACAGGUUAAGAGUACGGCACUAUGCCUAGUGUGUAGUAUUUAUGCUUGGCAUUCAUCCUUCCCCAGACCGAGGUGCUGUCCUCCCCAGGACUAAAUGAGGAUUAACUUGUCCUGGUCUUGGAAAGAAACUGGAUCUGGAGCUUUAUUAAUCAUUAAACUUGACCAUAGAGCAGUAAGAGGUACGGGGAGAUAGAUGCAGAGACCCAUGUGGCUCGGCGGCUCAGUACUCAGAGACCCAGAGAAGCUGUAGUCUAGCCUUUGGGAUUAUUCUUGCUUUGUUUGUUCCUAUAAUCACACCUUCUGCCCCAAGCAUGCCUGGCCCAGUGGGAGUCAGGAAGGAAAUUAUUUCCCUCUUUGGAUAUCAACGUACAAUUGUCGCAGCCAAGGACUUUCGGUUUUAAUAUUUCCGUUUUGGUUUUAAGAGCUCCCAGGUAUUAAUCUCUGCCGGAAGCAAAGCGUUGGUCAUUUCUGUUAGAGGUGUGUGUCUUGGCUCCCUGCGGUUACUUGGCCAGCUGGUUUCUGAACAUUUGCCACCAUCUGCUAAGCCAGCUUUCGUUUUUAUUUACUUGUUUCACAAAUUAUAAGGGGACUUAGUAAGUGUGAACUGAGGCCCACACAGUCUCCCCGAGUCUGUGGGUCUCUAUGUAGCAGGGUGGUCUUGUAGGGACUAUGACUGCUGUCCAUUAAAGAAAAGAUAAAGGCAUUUCUUCUCAGCCUUCCUCCUAGUUCCACAGUAUUUUCUCUUGGCUUCCGGUGCAGUGGGGGGUGCCCCUUUCUCUCCUUGGCGUGGUCCUAGGAGAGCUGUAAGAGUUCUUUCUCACUGGGUUACUCUGACAGCAGGCGUCUGAUGCCUGUGUGAAUGGGUGGAAGGUCCUUUAUGGACCGUUGCCAAACAACUACUUCCGGUAGAAUGUAUGACCUUAUUUUCUUUCCUGACUCUAGUAUUUGUCAAAAAGUUAGCCAACUUCAGAGUUCCUUUUUCGUCCUACAGGGGAGAGUCCUGGAGAUUGAACCCGCCGUGGCUUUGUAUAUGGUCAGCAAAUUGUCUGGCCCUGUGUUACCUGUGCAGCCCCAUCGCAGGCUCCUUAAGCUACUGUGGUGGGUUAGGCAUGCUCCCCGGUCUGUAGAAGCUUUGAGAGAGGGGGCAUAGAGAAGACUGUCAUACACAAUGGGAAUCUCUCAUAGCGUUCGUAUGUAUGCCGAUGCCUUGUGAGAGGUUUAUGGUUGGGAGAUCAAGGUAAAUUAGUCACAGCUACAGAUCUCAUAGGACUUAGACAAAAGGGGGUGGAGGGUGGAGAGAAUUGGGACUGUAGGGCAAGUCUCCAGGAAGGGGGGUUGAUCUCUAACUUAAGCACGGGUGGAUGGUAGAGGGGCCCAUGGCCAUAGUUUGGGCCAUGGAGGCUGGUCAGUAUCUGAGAGUGGGUGUAGAUAACAUCAAAGUCUUUACAGGUCAGAAUUUCAUGUGCCCUCCUUUCUCUAACCAGAAGCUGCAGCAAAAGGUGAUGCAGUGACUCUUUAUAUACUGGUGUUAAGUUUACAGAAUGUGUGCAUGGCCAGGGUGUGCCUGGGUCUGCUCUCAGAGCCAGCAAGCAUUUCUGUGUUCCUGAGCACUUCUUUCAAGAGUUCCCGAUGCUGAACCUUUGGUGGUCUGCUUCUUAGGCUUAAAAUAGAUUUAGUGAAGAGAACCAUUGAAGUUUUCCAGAAUUUGAACAUUUCUCACUCUGACGCAGUGUUAUCAGUUGCUGUUCCUGUGCACCAUUACCCCCAAAUUAUCAGCUACAACAAGAAACAUCUUUUGAAUCAUCGUUUCUGCAGCUUUGAUGGUGCCCACGGGACUUCUCAUGAGGUCGCAAGUGAGUUUUUCUAUCCCUGUAGAUUCCUCUGAAGGCUCCAAAUGGGGGAAAUCCUCCACAAAGCCCAGUCACAUGAUCACAGUGUAUUUAACUCCCCUCAGGUUGUUGUAAGAGCCUCCACUCUGGCUGUGCAGAUCUGUCCAUGGAGCAAGCUCCCAAGGCAUUUGGCUUCUCUGGGUGUCAGAAGGGUUUCCAUAUUGGAAGCCACAAUUCCUUGCUUCCUCCUUGUUAGAUGAGUAUCCCUAUAGCCAGCCCAUGGGCAAUGGGAGGGAAUCAUGUGAUGUGAUCCCAGAAUGUGCGCUGUAUGGGACUCUUAGGGACUGCUGCUUCCAGGCUUCCAGGUUACAUAUGACAUGUCAAGAUGAGAAUCGGGGGUUGCAGGGAGCUACUGGAAUAAACCCAGCAUCUUUAUAGAUCAGUUUGCUGGGGAAACUCUUUAGAGGAAAUUUCCAUUUGAAACCCUUCAUGAAAACAUCGAUGCACAACGGCACAGAAUCCAAAAUUGGCCCAAGUCUUGGGAGGAGGAUCACAGCUUUCAGCUAAUGCUGUUCUUUCCCACCUCUACAGUUUUGGCUUUCGUCAGCAGACAGGGCUGCUCUGGGUGGAAAUGACUGGGAUUCUUGCUUGAGCCCUCAGCUGUGUAGGUGAGAUGCCAGGGCUGGGGAGGGGGCAGAUCUAUGCAGUGAAGGGAGAAUUCAUGAAAUUCCUCUUACCAUUUCCUUUUCUCCCACCCAGCCUGCCUGUCUCUUUGUAAUGGUUCUGUGCAACCUUUAGGCAUCCUUUCCUUUCUGUUUCUAACCUCUCUCCUAUUCCAGAAACAGAUUAGGUCAAAGUAGGUCAAACUUGAUUCCCAGAGCCUCUGCCCUGUCCCUUCUGCUAUAUUUCAGGGAAGUGCUGCUUCUGUUGGGUCAUGAUAUGUCCUGAGAUGUGGGAUAAAUCAGUAUUUCUUGGCUCAGCCAGUAUGUCUGUGUAGUUAUGAAUAACAUUUGCAUUAGGAAUAGAGAGCCGAUGCACAACAUUGCUGUGAGGAUCAGACAGGAAACCUCAGCCAAUACCUUCUGUCUGGCAGAGAGUUUCUUUCCAGGGCAUCCGUCUCUUUUCCCUACCAAAAUAGUCUUCUCAUAAAAACAGGCUCAGCAGGUCAUCUUAUCUUAUAGACGGCUUGGGUUCCCAUGGUGUCUUCGUAAUCACUUCUCUCAAAGUUAAUGGAAACCAGAGAUUUAAAAUCAGGUCAAGGUUAUUAGUAUCCCGGAAGACCAAGACAGAGGAAAACAUAGCUGUGGUCAUUAGAAAUGCUACUACUGGCCAGAAAGUUCCUGCUCUCGGCUAGAUGGCCUCUUUCAACUCCCCACCCCCAUUUAGUGCAUCCGAAGUCUUUCUUAUCCAUGGUUUAAUUUGUAUUGAAAGCAAAUAGUAACACAUAGACUUAGUUCUGGGGUGGAGGCUGCACAGUAAAGCUGGCUUUAGAGAAGGAAAACCGCACACUAGAUACAGAGUCCUACUUAGGCUUCUUAGUUUUAAACCUGCCUUCAUGUCUGACUGGGGGAUGUAAAGUGCCAGUUUCACUGUGCUUGCGCUCUGACGAGUGUCGUGCACACGAUGCCUGCUGAGUGGGCUUGUUGUAAGUCCCCCUCUAAGUCCCGUCUUCUGUAGACGUCCUCUUUGCCACUGCCUUAAGCUGUGAGAAGUCCACAUUUAGUUGGUGCAGCACUGGUUUUGCCUCUUCUUUUUCAAAGAUUUAAUUUAAUUUUAUAUCGAUGAGUGUUUUCUACAUACACGGUUGUGCACCUUCUGUGCGCAGUGCCUUACAGGGGGCAUCCAGUUUCCUAGAACUGUAGUUAAGUGCACCUGGGAGCCAUUGUCGGUGCUGGGAGCCGAACCUGAGUUCUCUGUGAGAACAGCCAGCACUUUGACUGCUGGCUGUUUCUCCAGACCCAGGAGCUUCCCCUCCCCUCCCCGCCCCUCCCCUCCCUUCCUUUUAUGGCAGGUGGAAUUCUUUGCUGGAAACAAUUACCCUCCGUUCUUUCCUCUGUUACACCUUUGUGUAUCAAAUAGAACACUUUGCAGUGCCCUGGUGACCGGGAGGUCACCUCAGAGCUUGCACAUCAGUCACCACAAAUUCCAUGUUUUCCUGGGUAACUAAAAGGCUCAUUGUUGCUCAUUUACCCCAGUGGCUUCAGGGAUAUAAAUUCACACACCACACGAUGCUUGUCUUCUCUGAAAUUGAGCCACAGUGGCUCUGACAGUAGCUUUAGUGAGGGAGACUUUGGGGGCAUCCCUGGUAAAAGUCCUGCUGCUUUCUGGAUUCAGAGGACAGCCAUCAUGCAGGUGCUGGUAGCUACCUCUGCAGCCCUAAACGGUGUCAUCUGGACUUGGCCAGCGCUGACCCUCCUUGGUUCCUCCUUGGGCCUCUUUAGGAUUACCUCACCACCUCGAUGGCAACUGACUUGAAUUAUAUCGCUUAUUAUAAAUGAGCUAAUAUUUUCCUUUUAAUUCCGUGGGCCUGGCUCAUUCUCUGACUUAAGCUAGUGAUUUAUUUAUAAUGUUACGAGACGGCUCUAGCCACUCUAUGACGUAAUCUAAGAAUGACAUGAAAACAAAAUAGGCUUUUCCAUAUCGAGAGUAUUCCUGUAAUACUCUCCGUUUAUAUUGAGAACGGAGAGGGGCUCUGACACUCCCGUGUUCCUUUCUUAGCUUUUCUUCCUGCUUUGAGUUUUGAUGGCAUUGAGUUAAUUUCAGGCGGGUUGUGUUCACCUGUGCUGUCUUCUGUCCUCGUCUCCCCCAAUCCCUGCUUCCCUGCCCACUGCUGUCCUCAGAAGGCCCUGCUCCCCACUUCUUAUAGCUUACUCCUCAACUUUGUACCCUGUUAGAUAGAACUGUUCUAUGGUGGUUCUGCACAUAACAUCUGUCCACUACUGGCCGUGGGCACCUCCUCUGCCUUGAUGCGGACUUCUCAUAGCUUAGUGCAGUAGCAAAGAAUGAUCACAGGGGAUCAAACGCAGUGGAGGAGAUGGACUUUCUCUUGUUCUAGAUUGGAUCUUCAUAGUGAAAUUGAGACAGAUUGUGGCCUAUCCGUGGGCUUCAUUUGAUGUGAGGAAUGGGUGUCAGUGUUUCACUUUUGGUGGUCAACUGGUAUUUUGGCAGGGGAUCCUGAAGGGGUUGUAGAGAAGAGGAUCCUGAGGCUGCAUGACGUUUAGCUGUGUUCAUUUAGUCCCUCUGCUGUGGUUCGGGCACAUAAGUGAGAGUGAAGGCAUAUGGGAAGUUGUAUGGCUGUUGGCACAAGCCAAUUUAAAGGUUCUCUUGGGGAACCUUUAAGGUCAGUAAAGUACUUCCUGUAGAAGCCAGAGGACCCAGACUUGCCUUCUAGAGCCCAUGUUUAAAGUUCCCAAUGGUGUGGUGGAAUAUACAUGUAACCCCUCUGCUGGGAAGGUUGGAGAGCCUGGCCUGCUUGAUGUGCCCCCUGCUUGAUGAGAGACCCUGUUUCAGAAAGGAAAUGAUGAUGCCUGAGGAAGAAUUCCACUGAACUUGUCUUCUAGCCUCUAUACAGUUGCCCCCAUACAGUAAAUAAAAAACCAAAACCAAACUAAACCAAAACACAAAUAAAGGUCUCUUGUCUUGCUUUCUGGGAUUCUUUGGUUUGUUGACCUUGAGUGUCUUUCCCAAGAUCACAUACCAAAUUGUAGCAUGGACCUCAAUUCUCAUAUAUAGAGAGGGUUAAAAGCUACCUUUCUCUGUAUUUCCUGCUCAAAAGAGUUGAGAAGCUGGGACAAGGAUUAGAAGGUUCCUGGCUAACUGGAGCUUGUUGCACAACUUCCUCAGUUCUGUGUCUCUGCAGUGAAGUAGGGUCAGGUGUUGGCUUUGUAGACCACCCACGAUGUUCUAGUUUAUACUGAAUGAAGGUGGCAGUUGAAGGCCCAGGUCACAAAAGUAAGUGACACUGUCAGAUUCUUUCUUGGAUUGGCCUUGCUCCCUGACUCCAUUAGACCGUGUACUCCACCUCCUCUCUGAGGCACAAUGCUUAGCUCAUAGCCAAGACCUGGACUGUCUAUGUGCUAGGUCAGCUCAUGGACUACUGGGAGAAGCAGGCAUGGUGAUGGAAGAGGACAGCCAGGUGGUCAGCGCCCAGCUUUCCAGCUCAGGGUCAGUGAGCCAUUCCACACCGACUAGGUACAGGCAAAGAAAGAGGUUGGAGAGUGAAGAAAGAUCUAGCAGGGAUCAGGGUGGACAGAGCCAAGGUGGUGGUGUCCUCUUGUGGGCUCUGACAUGGAAGGACCAAAGCUCACUCUUGUAAUCUGUAUUGAUGCAGGGAAACCUUAUCUGGUCCCGUUAGCUCCCAAAUAAUGGUCACAAAGGCCUCUUAAUUGAUUACUAAACUGCUGGGGAUAUUUUGAGCAACUCUAACACUACAAGGCUGUUUACUCCCCAGCCAUAGUCCUUCACCUUCAGUCUGAGUCUUCUGGUUUGCUCAGGUCCACGUGUGUCCUCACGUCUGCUCUCUCGUCCAGCCCUCAUGGCGAGGCCCUUGGCCACCUGCUCACCACAGCUCCUCAGAGUACCUCCUCUUUUCGCUUGUCCUGGUCCUUCUCUUACUUCCCUCUACCUGGCACCCCUGGCUGGGAUCGGAAGUCCAGUCUUCCUGUCUCUCCUGCUGCCCAGGGAGAUGAUGAGAAGCAAGCUUUACAAAACACCGAGACAUGAGAUGGUUCGCCAUGCUGGUCGUGCUUGACCAUCCAGACAGUAGGCAGAUGUCUGGGCAGGGAAAUCGGCAUCUGAAUACACAGUGCAUAAGGCCAGCCCCAAUACCCUCUGACCUCAGGGGGAGCUGUGGGAAAGCUGCUGAAGCAACAGGCGGACAGUGUGAGGCUGAGUUUCCAAUAUCAAGAAGACACAGGGUUUUGUUUGG